GGCGUGGGCGGUGAACCCGCGGUUCUGGGGAUCCGCGCCGGGCCGGGCCGCGGAGGUUGGGUAAAGAGAGGUGUUUGAAGUGUUUCAGGUGUGCCUGCAGGCUGCUGCUGUGGACGCGCGUGCUGGAAUCCGGGGCAAGGUCCUGAGUCUGCUACUGCUUUCCAAGGUGCGGCCGAAAUGUGUGAGUACAGGUGUGCACGCUUACUGAGAGGCAUGUGCUUACGUGCGUGUGUGUGCAGGUGUGCACGCUCAUCGAGAGGGCACAUUCACACGGUGCGGCGCAGUGAAGGGUAUAUGCAGUAUGCCGUUGUGCUGUUCUUCACACUCUGUGUGCUCGCACAGUUUUGCAAUAACGGGGAAGGUGAGGGGUUUCACAACUACCUUAAAGGAGAAAAUACAGAUUCUAGAAUUCCCCGGGACUCUCACUCCGUGGGUCUGUAGCGGGUCUUAAGGAAUCAUUUUCUCAGGGAAUACGGGUGGUCUGCAGAUUCUCGUGAGAUACAAAUGCUAUUUGUCAAGUAAGAAAGUAAAAGUCGAGGUGUCCUGACCAGCCCAUCUCCUCCUCCACAGGCAGCAUCUGUUCAAAUUGGUAUAGGUCUUUCCAGACAACCUUAUACAUAGAUACGUUACAUACACGCAAGUACUUUUUCCACUCUCCUAAUUUGGAGCCUAUGCUUACUGAGUUUCUAUAACGUCUUUUGAUGUAUAUAUUUAUAGAUUGAGCCUCAUUCUUUUUAACUUCUGGGUAAUAUUCCAUUAAAGGGUGUUUGAAAGUUGUUUUUUUGUUGUUGUUUUUUUUGUAAUUAGACCAUGUCUCAUUUGCCUUUGUUUUGUUUGUUGUGGAAGUAACUCAUACCAAUGGUUAAAAAUCCAAACAGAAGGGAGAAACAUUAAAAGUCUCUGUGUCCACCCUACCUACUCACCUAUCACCUGCGUAUUGUAGACCCAACUACAAUUUCUUUCUAGGUCUUCUGGUUCUUUUCAUUAUAGCUGUAAAUGAUGUACGUCCUGACCCGUCAACCACGAACAGUAUCUUUUCAAAGGAACCUUUGCUGCAGCUGGGCCAGCCUGCAGCUGUCGGCGCCCGAGAUGAUUUGCCUGCCAUGGCGUUUUCCAACCACCAGAGGCCGCUCUGCCCGCGUUUGGGGCGGACCUGAAGAGCCCCGGAAUGUGUAUCUCCCCAGAGCACCUGCAACAAUGCGUGGGAACCCCUGGGACAGGACGUGCGUCCAAGGUCUCGGAAGGAGCGGGAUAGUUGAGACAGGCGGAGGAUGGAAAAGGCCUUCGUGACCUGAGAGAUUGUGCAGAAGACACUAAUGUGCUGGGAAGGAGAAGUCUCUGCUUCCCCCAUUGGAAUCGUCAUCACACAUUGAAGUUAAGUUCGUUCAUUAUUUAAACAAGGAUUUGCUGAUAACAGGUUAGUGGCUUAACGUGUGGACUUUUUGUUUUUUUAAUGGCCAUUCCCACUGCAUAUGGAGGGUCCCCUGGCCAGGGAUUGAAUCCAAGCCCCAGCUGCGACCUAAGCCACAGCUGCAGCAACGCCUGAUCCUUUACCCAACUUCCCCAGGUGGGGGAUUGAACCCGAGCCCCGCAGUGACCAGAGCUGCUGCAGUCAGAUUCUUCACCCACUGCAUCACAGCGGGAACUCCUAAAAAGUUUGGACAUUUGAGCUGCCUUACAUGAGUUCAAAUCCUCUUACUAGCUGUGUUGAUUGUAUCAAGUUCCUUAGUCUCUUUGUGCCUCAAUUUCCCAUAUUGUAAACAGGCAAAAGUGUCUGUGUGUGUGUGGAUAUGUGUAGUCAGAAAGAUUGUUAGAUAAUAUUGAAUGUCUGAAACACAGUGCAAGAAUAUUAACUAUUAUCAGUAUACAAUAAUUACUGUAAUAGUAAUGUUAUACUGUCAUUAAUAUAUCAAUCUAUUAAGUAUUAUUAACUUAAUAUUAUUUAUGUUCUUUCUAUACAGCCUCACCAUAUUUUCUUCGUGAUACUCUGAGCUAGUUUUUGUGCUGUUUUUUUUUAAAAAAAACUCCAUUUUACAGAUAAGACAACUAAUGCUCAGAAAAGUUAGGUGGCUUCCCCACCGUCACACAGCAGCUAAGAUGAACCAUCCAAGUCUACUUGGUUUGCACCAUAUUUUGUGGCGGUGCUCCUGCUGGUGUUUCUAUAAUGUAGCUUAAUUCAGUCAAAUAGCAUGAAAGAAAUUGAAAAAAGUGAUUGAAAACGAGCAGGGCACGGGAGAGUUCAUUCUGCUUCCCGAAGGCACAUGCAUAGCCAGCAGGGGGCAGCACGCACCAGGACAACCAGAGUAUCCUGGAGGCGUUUGUCGGGUGUCCUUUAGCUAGGGUCCCUCUGAGCCUUUUCAGGAUUAAAUUUAUUUAUUUAUUGUCUUUUUCAUAUGGAAGUUCCCAGGCUAGGGGUCUAACCAGAGCUGCAGCCACCGACCUACACCAGAGCCACAGCAAUGCAGAAUCCAAGCCUCGUCUGCAACCUUCACCACAGCUCACGGCAACGCCGGAUCCUUAACCCACUGAGCGAGGCCAGGGAUCGAACGUGCAACCUCAUCGUUCCUAGUCAGAUUCGUUAACCACUGAGCCAGGACGGGAACUCCCAGGGUUAGAUUUAGAUCACGCCAUUUGGGCAGGAAUACACAUGAGUGACAGGUCCUCAGCUCUUCAAAGUGCACGGGUGUCAGUUUGUUCCAAUAUUGGAGGUGCAAAUUCCGCUCACUUGAUGCAGCGGUCUGAAUAUUUGUCUUUCCCACAAAAUUCAUAGGUUGCAAUCCUCACGUCCAGUGUGAUGGUUGUAGGAGGUGGGCCUUUGGCAGGCGAUUAGGCCGAGAGGCGGUGCCCUUGUGAUGGGAUCUUUGUAAGAGUCCUCGCUGAGCUCUCCAGCUCUCUUGACCCCUGCGGGGACACAGGGAAAAGUCUGCAGUUGGCACCCCCUGAGGAGGGUCCUCCCCAGGUCCUGACCAUGCAGCCACCCUCAUCUUGGAUGUCCAGCCACCAGAGCUGUGAGAAAGUCAGUGUCCGUUGUUCACAAGCCACCCAAUCUAUGGGACUUUGUUCCAGCAGGCUGAACUGACCGGGAUGCUUGGUUAAGGCCGUUGGUCAGGUUUCUCCAUUGUAAAGUUAUUGUUUUCCUCUUGUACCUAAUAAGCAUUUUAUGAGACGACAUAGUGGAGAUGUCUUCUCUCUCACUGGCGCUUGCAUCCAGCGUGGUCCCCACCCACGCUGAACCGGGAGCACGGUGCAACCAGUGGGAUGUUGGGGAGAUGGUGAAGUUUGACUUGGAGGCUGGUUCCCAAGGAGAGAACUGUCUCCUGCCUUACUCUCUGGGAUCACAGGCUCUAGAGAAGCCAAAGUCAUGCCUUCAAAAUGGAUGAGACCUGUAAUCUAAGAUUUUAAAAUAAAUCAGGGCGAAAAUUAAAUUAAAGGGAAACCUCACCAAAAUAGAAUGGGGAGGCCAGAAGGGGGCGCUCUCAUACACGUGCCUCUCAAGAUCAGGGCGGAGCCCAACAGGAAGAGCUGUACCUUGCAUCUCCCUCAGGGAUUGCUGUUUGAGUAUCACCAGCAGGAGGAAGAAAGGUUUUUUGACUGUCACAACUCAGCCAAUGAAAAGCCAUCUUUACGUCUAAGUACUAAUUUCCUAGAAGGGACUUUUUGUUUCUUACAGCCUCCCAACGUCCCCUUUUCCUCUAGCAAAGCAUUUUCUCUCCUUUCUUCUACUGCACAUGUCUGUGGUUCACCAUCGUCGCCUGUCCCAAAAGGUGAUUAUGUGGUUCUCUUGGAUAAAUCUGUUUUGCUGGUAAAAAAUAACCAGCUGUUUUAUUGUUUUAGGUUUAAAGCAGACAUAAAAAGUAACCUAAGAUAUGGAAAGCAGUAUAUGUCAGAUUUAGAAAAGCUCAGGAGGUGAAAAACUCAGGAAAGGAUUAAAAGUUGUAUGUGUCAAAGUAAUUCAAGAACAAAUUAACAAAACUGUAGGUCACAGAGGCAGCUUGCGUCCAGUGUUCCUGAGGCUGUGGCGUAGGCAGGCAGCCGUAGCUCUGAUUAUGCGUUAAGAGAAAUAAAGCAAAGAAGUAGGAAGAUAUUAAAAGAUAUUAUUGGGGCCAUAAUAAUGGGUACUCAAAGAUAUCCACCUACUAAUCCCCAGAACCUGUGUGCAUGUUUGCUUACACAGCAAAAGAGACUUUGCAGGUGUGGUUAAAUUAAGGCUCUCAAAACAGGGAGAUUAUCCUAGAUCAUCUGGGUGGGAUUAAUCUAGUCACGCAGGUCCUUAAAAGGAGACAAUUGUUUCUGGCUGUGAUGGGAAGUCAGAAGAGGCCAGGUGUGUAUGUGUUAGGAAGAAACCUAUUCCGGGAUUUCCCUUCAUGGAUCAGCUGUUAAGAACCUGAUUAGGAUCCGUGAGGUUGCGGGUUCGAUCCCUGGCCUCACUGUGGGUCAAGGGAGGAUCCAGCAUCGCAGAGAGCUGCGGUGUAGGUCACAGAUGAGGCUCAGAUUCUGUGUUGCUGUGGCUGUGGUGUAGGUCAGCAGCUGUAGCUCCGAUUCGACCCCUAGCCCGGGAACCUCCAUAUGUCACAGGUGCAGUCCUAAAAAGAAAAAAAAAAAGAAACCUGUUUCAGCUGAAAUAGAAUGAUGAUCCCAAAGAGAGUCUAGAAUAAUAAUAAUAACUCCCUAUAUACUGAUAUGCCUGGCCAUUUGGAAAUAGCAAUUAGUUUUGUUUUUUAACGUAAUUAUUUUGGAGAGCCUAAGAAGAAAUGAUAAAAGACUACUGAAUUCCUAACUCUCUGAAAAGAAAACAUUAUAUAAGGAAUAACAACAUUGUAAAUCAACUAUACUUUAAUAAAAAUUUGUUUAAAAAAUAAGAAAUGGAAUCAUGGAAUACAACUUGCCUCAUAGGAAAAACUUCUUACAUCUUCAUAUAAGGUAAAUUAAUACUCUUUUACUUCUCAGAGUUCCCUCUGGUGGCUCAGCGUGUUAAGAACCCAAUUUGUAUCCACGAGGAUA